CUCUUUGCGCUUGGGGCAAUGACGCAGUUAGUGAGGUGAAACCGAGACGCGUCAAUUGCUGGUUGAAAACUAUUUCUUAUUUCCUAUUUCAAGGUCCAUGUACCCAUUUCUGAGGCUCUCUCAUUUCACCCUUUCGCAAGUCUGUACAUGGCUGAGA
rnacentral:snRNA from 1 species